UACGUAGGUGACCAGCGUUGUCCGGAUUUACUGGGCGUAAAGAGCGCGCAGGCGGUCGUUCAAGUCGAGUGUGAAAGCCCCCGGCUCAACUGGGGAGGGUCACUCGAUACUGAUCGACUUGAAGGCAGGAGAGGGAAGCGGAAUUCCUGGUGUAGCGGUGAAAUGCGUAGAUAUCGGGAGGAACACCUGUGGCGAAGGCGGCCCCCUGGUUGGAUACUGACGCUGAUACGCGAAAGCGUGGGGAGCAAACAGG
rnacentral:rRNA from 1 species